CCAGACUCCUACGGGAGGCAGCAGUGGGGGAUAUUGCACAAUGGGGGAAACCCUGAUGCAGCGACGCCGCGUGAGUGAAGAAGUAUUUCGGUAUGUAAAGCUCUAUCAGCAGGGAAGAAAAUGACAGUACCUGACCAAGAAGCCCCGGCUAACUACGUGCCAGCAGCCGCGGUAAUACGUAGGGGGCAAGCGUUAUCCGGAUUUACUGGGUGUAAAGGGAGCGUAGACGGUUAUGUAAGUCUGGAGUGAAAGCCCGGGGCCCAACCCCGGGACUGCUUUGGAAACUGUGUAACUGGAGUACAGGAGGGGCAGGCGGAAUUCCUGGUGUAGCGGUGAAAUGCGUAGAUAUCAGGAGGAACACCGGCGGCGAAGGCGGCUUACUGGACAGUAACUGACGUUGAGGCUCGAAAGCGUGGGGAGCAAACAGGAUUAGAUACCCGCGUAAC
rnacentral:rRNA from 1 species